GGGCCUUCCGGAUGUGGAUCAACUCUCUCGGCAUCGAGCGGCACGUUGACAAUCUCUUCGACCAUCUUCGCGAUGGUGUUCCCAUCUUGCAGACGAUGGAUCAUGUGCAGCCUGGAGUGGUCGA
rnacentral:SRP_RNA from 1 species